AGCGAACGCUGGCGGCAGGCCUAACACAUGCAAGUCGAACGAAGUCUUCGGACUUAGUGGCGGACGGGUGAGUAACACGUGGGAACGUGCCUUUAGGUUCGGAAUAACUCAGGGAAACUUGUGCUAAUACCGAAUGUGCCCUUCGGGGGAAAGAUUUAUCGCCUUUAGAGCGGCCCGCGUCUGAUUAGCUAGUUGGUGGGGUAAAGGCUCACCAAGGCUACGAUCAGUAGCUGGUCUGAGAGGAUGACCAGCCACAUUGGGACUGAGACACGGCCCAAACUCCUACGGGAGGCAGCAGUGGGGAAUCUUGCGCAAUGGGCGAAAGCCUGACGCAGCCAUGCCGCGUGGAUGAUGAAGGUCUUAGGAUUGUAAAAUCCUUUCACCGGUGAAGAUAAUGACUGUAGCCGAAGAAGAAGCCCCGGCUAACUUCGUGCCAGCCGCCGCCGUAAAAC
rnacentral:rRNA from 1 species